CUCGGCCCCUAAGCUCCGCCCACUCCCCGCCCCUGAGGUCCAUCUGGGGCCUCGCCCGGCGAUCUGGGACUGGGGAGGACCCUGCUGACUUCCAGGCAGGUGGAAACUGGAUUGAUAGAAAUCCAGCGCGGGGAGGCUGUGCUGAGAGGAGGGACGCCCCUGCCCUGCGCCUCCCGCUCCCCAUCUCUGGCUGGUAUCCCGGUUACAGAAUGAGGGUCCGUGGUGCAACAGAAAGAAUGAGCCACUGAUACACUCAUCAGCUUGCUCGGAUCUCCCGGGGAGUUACGCUGGUGAGAGAAACCAGUCCCAAAGGUCACUCACCGACGGCGCCGCUGGUGUACUGGUAUUAUGCAAGAUGCCCUCGCAAAGGUCACGCACGGAUGGUUCAUUUAUCCAAAGACCAAAGGAGAGAAAUGCAGGACUCAUUAGCAGUGCCCAGGAGAUAGGGGGGCGGGUGGGUGUGGCUAUAAAAACGCAACCCGGGGGGUGCCUGUGAAGGAAAUCUGCGUCCCGCGGAACGCAACACGCUGUUGGGAUACUGGAUUGUCCUUUGUGAGAUGCCACUAUCGGGGGAAACCGGAUGGCUUCACAGAAAAAGUUCGUUUAAAGGAAAAUGGUUUAAGGCCAAGGAAAUACCUAGAAAACGGAAAGUCUUGAAACCAGAGCCGGAAAAAGAAUGCCUGUGUUUCGAAGUUCCUUCUUAGGACGAAACCAGCUGAAGCUGGCGAAAUCCAAGAUGGCGCCUCUGAAGAGCCUCUGGCUUUAUCAUCAUCCUGUUCUCAUGCUAAACAACAUGUCGCCAUGACAACGACUGGAAGAGACCAAGAAGGGACAGAAAAAAAGGGGUUUCUUGAUUCCGGGAAAAAUCUCCGUUCUUUCCCAAGGAAAGCACGAAUAUUCCCCCCCGUGCUCUUAAUGCCCAGCCCCUUCAUUAAAGACACCCUACCUCUGAAA
rnacentral:lncRNA from 1 species